rnacentral:rRNA from 1 species
AUCUAUGGCCUUACCACCCUCAACGUGUCCGAUCUCGGUCUCAUCUCGGAAGCUAAGCAGGGGCACGCCUGUUUAGUUCUUGGAUGGGAGACCACCUGGGAAUACUGGGUGCUGUAGGCU